UAUCAACUCGAUUCCUCUCAAGCUUCCACUCGAGGUGUCCGGUGAUGGGUGGGAGCGGUCUGGGAGGCCUCAGGUGGCAGGUUGGUUGUUCCUCCGGCGGACACGCUGUCGUGACCGGCGGGGGAGGUGCAGCCCAGACAGGUCCCAGACCCCGCGGGGGACUGCUUCCGGCGCUGAUGAGGACCCGCCUUUCUCGCCGCCCGCGGCAGCGCUUGCGGGGCCGCUGUACCCACGCGUGCACCACGUGCUGUCCCCGGGCCCGGCGGCGGGUCGGCGCCCGGGGUCCCAAGUCCCUCGGCCGGCACGUGCUCUCCUGCAGGUGGGAGUGGCGCCGGCUUCCGGGUGGUGGAGACCGGUGCGGUGCUGCGGGAGGGUUGCCUAGCACAGAAGCUGGCACCGCGGCGCCGGAGCGUUGCCAGGACUGCCGUUCGCGCCGCCUGCUCCCGUGUGGUCCUGAUGCGCUGACGCGGGCGCGGACGAGCGUGUGGCGGGCGGCUACAUCUGCAGGGGAGGACUGGGAUGACAGCGGAUUCUGGAACAGGAGCUAAUUUUACUUUUAACAAACGGUGCGCUGGGACUACUUGAAAAAGCCAUCGGUAACAACGGGGAUUUUCGCAGAGGCUGUUCAGACCGAGAUCCUGGAGUCAGCCUCAAUAGAUUAGACCGAGAGCUGAAGUCAUACUGACUUUCCACCAGAAGAAACAAGAUUAUCUGACCUUCCUGGAAAUCAAGAGAAACAGUGGUCAGAUUUCCCAGUCCAGCUCGUUCGAGUCACCAUGGUAGUAAUGUUGCCUGUGCUUUAGCCCUUACAAAACAAAGCUCCUGAAAUAACUUGAUGUUAACCGAUCUGCUGUUCUUCUGUUGUUCUGUCUACCUGGCCUGGUGUGUUACUGUAAAGACAGUCACUUUGAAAUGACCAAACUGCUUUUAUUCUUUAUUUCUUUUUUCUUCAGCUAUUUUCUAUCUGUAAAACCAACCU